UACACUUAUUGCCGCUAAUCUUGUUCUCCGAGUUCAAGUAUUAACGACAAUUAGAUUUUGGUCAGCAAUAAUUAUUCGUUAGUGGCAAAUAGAGUUAAUGGCCAGCAAAAACUAAAAAUUUGAAAGGAGUCUUUCCCUCAAAUUCCUUAAAAUUGCAAAUCCCUUCAUUCUAAGUUCUAAGAAUUGCCUCAUUCCUUCCAUCAUCGCCGACCCUUCGUGUUUCAGUGCCAUCUCUUAGAAUUCCUCAAUGACAUGGCCUUCCAGUUUUAUUGCUAUGACAAUUGUCUUCGGGUAGUGUUCGUAUUUAUUCUCUUCUUUGUAAUUUCUCUGCAUCUCAAAAGACACCUUUAGGCAAAACCCUAAUUCCCUUAGCACAACGCUUUUCCGUCCAUAACCAAAUUUGAUGACAUGUUACCUUUUAUUUUGAGGCUAAUGAAUAAAACCAAAAGCAUCGGUUGUUCAAUUACAAGAUUUUUCCUGUUUUCUUAAAAUUCUUGAGCUAGGCAGGUCAGUAAGGUGGUUAUGAUUGAUGGAAGGAUUUUUCUGUCAAUGAUAUGUUGGUGUACAUGCUUUGAACCAAAAUUUUAUCAGGAUCAACUAAAUAUGCAUCCACUGAUUGAAACUAUACAUUUCACAUACAAAAAACUACUGAGUUGUGGAUUUGUCUAACAAGAACAGAAAUUUGCUGGCAGGUCAUACACUAUGAUGUUUAUAACUUUAACAUGUGGAAGAGUUUCAUUACCAUCAAGAGUUGAAGAGAUACUUGUUAUACUUAAAUUGCAUUAGAUUCAAAGAUCUAUUUUUCCGUUAAUGUGGCUGACA